rnacentral:misc_RNA from 1 species
GAACACUGCACUUCAUUAUGCAGCUGGUUAUGGCAGGAAGGAGUGUGUUGCACUAUUACUAGAGAAUGGCGCGGCAGUCACUCUCCAAAACUUGGAUGGAAAGACUCCCAUAGAUGUUGCCAAGCUAAACAACCAACACGAGGUGCUAAAAUUGCUCGAGAAGGACGUUUUCCUGUAAACUUCGACGCCCAGGAGAUAUUUUGUGCCACAACUCGCGCACACCACGGGUGUUCCAGUGUUGUGAUUAUCUACAUUCGAAAAAGUUACAACUUAAUUUAAGUAAUGCGAUUUUCAUUAGAAUGCUAUAUAGUGAGUAAGACAAAAUCCGUUCUAUUAUGUGGUGUGCUGUGUGAGCCUUUUGUUAUUCGCAUUGUGCCUG